CUGGCUCACCUCCGGACGGUGCAAGGCUCGGUCGGCGACGGCAAAGCAGCCUGGGAAUCCAGCGUCCAGACCCCACUUGAAGAGAUACAAGGUGACCAGCUCCCUCACACUCCCACUGCCACACCUACCCUGCUGUGAUGGACUGUUUUCACUUCAAACUGACUAUAGAAAUCCAAAGCUGGGGCUGGAGAGAUGGCUCUGC